rnacentral:lncRNA from 1 species
GGCCACUGGAAACAAACACCUCCUUUAGUGGGGGCUGGGAGGUCGUUUGUUCAAUUCAAAAUGCCUGUCUAUUUUCACCUCAGGCAAAGGGACAGGUUCCCUCAGGCCACUGGAGCCCACCUCAAGAGUCUCUUUGCCAGGGAAAUUCUCCAAUGAAGGUUUCUGUUUGUCCUUGAUGUAAGCUCACCGAUGGAUCUGGAGAGAAAUCUUCAUCCCUCUCUCCAGAAAUCAUCCCACCACUGAUGGUGAGUAAAUGCAUUGAAAUGGCAAUGGUACCAGAGUGGAUCCGGGUC